AUUUAUAAAGUUUAUAAAACACUUCAUUUUCAUUGAAGAGAGAAGCAAACGCUUUAUAAAUA
rnacentral:tRNA from 1 species